rnacentral:lncRNA from 1 species
CAAGAAUUUGCUUAUAGGGGGACAUGACUUGAGGGAAAGUUCCGUUAACAAGGGCAACUACAAGGAGCUUGCAGAGGUAAUUGCACGUUAUGAUGCUUUACUUGCUUAACAUAUGGACCUUCGACUGUCUUUUCUGGGAUGUUAAAAACAAUACUGAAUGAUUUGAUAGCUACCAUCGCUUCAUCCAUUAAGAAUGAUAUUAUAGAGAGAGGUUGACGCAGCGCAUUUUUUUUGUUGCAUGUGCUUAGGUAGGCUUUCCACUUCCCUCUGGUAUUUAUUUAGCAAAGAUGAUAACACAUAAUCACUCCGGACAGACACAAGCAACAAAUCAUGACAUGAAUGCAGCAGCCUAGGCUACACCUAAACAUUAGAAAUCUGACAUGCUGUAUCGGAUGAAAAUGAGACGAUGUUUGAGUCUGAUCAACUGUUAAAAAUUGCCCCACCGCUCUGGGACCUGCACCAGUCUGCUUGCAGUUGUCAGUUAUCAUCAGGUAUAUGGAGGAUCAGGGCUUUAUUCAGGAACGUUUCUCGGGCUACUUUAAUGUGUCAAGUGUGCGAGAUGCACAGUCUGUGUUUGACUUUAUGAAUUUUGAAUGCCUGAGUUUAAGUUCAUGGAGAAGCUUGUUGUCCAAACCUACAAUGGUGCAGCUGUAAUGGAAUGUAUCUGCUAUUUGUAUUUACAGCCAAGUCCCCUCCUGUUCCCUGAUUAAGAGGUGAUGACUACUCCACUCCACUAACAUUGUCAACUUUCUCCUGACAUGAACUGAAGCCAUGUUUCCCCUCCAAGCACUGCGAGUACCCCUAUCAAUUUUCUCUAAUUACCGUAUCAAAUCAAAUCUAUUUAUUAAGCCCUUCUAUAUAAAACCCCAAACAGCAAGCAAUGCAGCUGUAGAAGCACGUAUGUAGAGACAAUCACUUAGGCAAUCACAUCAAUGAUUUUACUCCUUGCUUGGACUAACUCAUUUUUAUCUCUUUUGUCUAACUGUGUAGUGUGUUGUCUUAUAGUUUCUCUUCCCAGUCAAAUCCUGUCCUGCACUGGUCAAGCCUCUGAACACCUUAUCUCAUGCCUCAUACCCUCAUUCAAUCACUGCCGUGAUCCCUUUCCAACACGGUGAUCUUGUUUGUAGACUUCUUCCUGAUUAACAUAAUCCUGUGGGUGGAGGGCUUCUUGGCAGCCAUCCCCUUCGAGCAUGUUGGUGGCCAUCUUAGCUUUGUGGUUUAGCAUCCCAGUGCCCCUCACCUUCGUGGGCGCCUAGCAUAGAUCGGCUUCAAGAAGCCUGUGAGUUUCACCUAUCAAUCGCACUGUCUGUAUGAAUAACUCUAACAGGUCAUCUUACAUCGUGUGCAUUUCCCCCCAUUUGUUUGCAAUCUCUUUCACUCUGGCAUAAAAGUCAGAGAAAACAUAGCACAUAAUCAAGGGUCUAACAAGGUCUUGAUGAGUUUCUAUGCUGCUCUAUGUGCUCCAGGCGAUUGAGCAGCCAUUGCGAACCAACAAGAUCACUCGGCAGAUCCAUUAACAUUCCUUCUUCACCAAGCCCAUGCCGGGAAUCAUCAUGGGGGGUAUCCUGACCUCCGACUGCAUCUUCAUCCAGCACUUCUCCAUUCUCAACAGCAUCUGGUAAGAACAAGAAUCAAGUCUGCCACUCAACCAUGAGCUUUGAAUUAGCCUAGUUGUGCAUGUAUAAUGAUUCACAAAGAAACAAAC